UUCCAAACGCAGGGCUUUUCGCCUGGGAGGUAGGAGCGGGCGGAUGUCGGAAUAUCUUUCCUGGGGUUGUCAAAUCCGGGAAGGAAAUAGCCCCCGUUGUGCUUUAGAGAGGUGGUGGUUGACUUUCAAGUCAUUAGUGGCGCAGUGGGUUACACGUUGGGCUGCUAACCUAAGGCCAGCAGUUCGAAACCACCAGUGGCUACCCUGGGAAAAGGUGAGGCAGUCUUCGCCUGUAAAGCCUCACAGCCAUGAGAACCCACAGGGGCAGCUGUCCUCUGCUCCACGGGGUGGCUGUGAGUCAGAAUCCACUCGUGGCAGUGAGUUCAGACUGGUGUGGGUGUAUUUGUUUGAGGCCCAAAGAAGGUUCCUGUGUAUAAACUGCUCAACCCCAACAAGGCUGCGCCUCUGUUUCUGGAAGUUUCUCCAGUGCCCUAACUAGGUGUAAGAAUGGAAAGGAGCAGAAAUACAGGUGGCCCCUGGUUUACGAUGGGGUUCCGUGGGGUGACUCCAUCUGAAGUUGGUUCUGACCUAAAUGGAAUACACCGUUUUUUUGUUGUUGUUUUUUUUAGCUUUCACCAUGAUUGCUUUCUUAUAUCACUAUCUCAAUAUUUCUGUGAAGGAUAAGAUUCAACAUCUGGGCUGCAAUGUUGUAUGUGGUAGAUAUUCACUAACUGUAAUAGGUACUCAAUACCAAGAGCCAGCUGGUUGUAAUGCCAUAAUGUUGUGAGGCCAAGCCUACCUGUAAUUCUGCCAAACUUCAUGCGGAUCCUGACUGAUGAACCGCCAGCGGUCUGGGUUAGCCCCGCUGUGCAAGACAAUCUGCCUGUAACUCUGAUCAGUUGGAAGGCCAGCGAUUCAGUCACCCUCCUGAGGGCAUGCAUUUGGUGUGGGAUAGACACGUGUGUUAUGAAAGGAGCCCUGGUAAUGCCAUGGGUUAGGGAUAGGCAGCUCACUUCAAAGUUGGCAGUUCAAACUCACCGGCCCCUCCUUGCGAGAAAGAGGAGACUGUCUGCUCCCAUAAACAUUCACAUUCUUGGGAACCCUAACCAGCAGGUCUACUCUGCCCUGCAGGGUGACAGUGGGUCGUAAUUGACUAGAGGGCAGUGGGUGAUGGGUGUGUAACAAAUGCAGAUGUGACUGAGCAUUGGGGAUUGUCAAAUAAGAGAUGUGGAAGCCUUCCCCAACGCAGCACUGCCUGGGAGCGCCUGCUGGUCUCUCUGGUAGGUGUCCCCACCUGCUGGUAGUGCGGUGGCCUUACUGUCCACAUUUCCCCGCCCCUCUUACUGUCUGUGCUCUGAGUCACAUCAUCUGAGAAGCAGUGAGGAUGGGUAUAGAUGGUGUGUGUGCGCCUGUGGCUUUCACCCCCUGACCAGUCAUCACAUGGUCUUGUGGUCAUGUAAUGGCGCAAGAGUUGGCCUUGAACUUGGUUGAUAGCAGCAGUAGGAGCACGGACAGGUUAUUCAUGUUCCCGAAACUUCAGGCCCCACCCCUGAGAAUGGGGCGUGGCCUCCUGGACUUGUUCCAAGAAGCAAACAAACACAUGGAUGCCCCGAAGACAGCGGCCCGCAAUGAGCUCUGGGAUCUGGAGGGGCUGUACUUUGGCAAGGUGUUGGUUGACUUCGCUUCUUCUCAGAUGAGGGCUUUCGUUGACCUCAGGGGGAAAGCAAGUAAUGAGCCACUCACAAAUUAGUAGGUUCACUGCCACCACACAGUUCAAAAUGCCUUCUCUAAGGAGCCCUAGUGGGGCAGUGACUGAAAGAGAGGUCAGGGGUUGGAACCCACUUGGAGAGACAGGGCCAAGAGGGCAGCCUCGGAAACCCUCUGGGCCGGUCUGCCUGUUUGAAAGCCCACGUGCUCGCUUGUGCCCUUUAUAAAGUCCUUUCAGCGGGCAUUCCUCCUAGAUGGAACAAUUCCCCCAUCAUUCCAGUCUUGAAAACCUUUCGCCUGAUUCUGUUGCCUCCUUUCCCACCCUUCGCCCACCUACCCUGUAGGGUGGAGCAGUGCUGCCCCCUAGGCUUCCCAAUCUUUAUGGGAGCAGACAGCCCCAUCUUUCUCCCUCAGAGCAAAUGAUGAGCUCAAACUGCCAACUCAACGUCUGAUGGCAGUACCACGAGGGCCCCUCCUGUGACCACUGGCUGUACUGUGACUCAGCACUGGUCAUUUUAAGGUGCCUUGUGCCUUUGAAGGGAAGCCUACUACCUGUUGGGUUGGUAACUUCUCUUCCCUCCCCUCCUGAAGUCUGUGGCCACAGGGCAUUGUUGACACUUGGAACGUACCGGGCAGAGUUGUCUGCCCGGACUGUGGCAAUCAAUAUCUGGGUGCCCCAGUUGAGAAGCUGCCCUAUCUUACCACCCUGCUCCCCUGUUUUCAUUUGGACUCCCUCCAAGCCCUGUCACGCCAUCAUCUUUCACCUCUUUUGACAGCUUCACACAAGGCGUGGCUCUUCCUCCUCGUUUUGGCCCUGCCCACCCUCUGUCUGACUCCUGUGCCUCAGCCCCAGCCCCUCUGAACCCACUGCCUCGCCCCUCCCCUGACGCUGACCAAGUCUUUCAGACUCUAAAUAGACACCUAAUCUUUGGCUCAUGUUUCAUGAUAUGUUCCAUAUCAAGGAGCCCUGUGACCUUGUAGGAUAAGCACUGCAAGAUGGGUAGGUCAAACCCACCGCCACUCAGAGGGAGAAAGACGAGGCUGUCUGCUCCCAUAAAGCCACUGAAACCCUGUCUGGGGUCAUUGUGAACUGGAAUUGACUUGACUGCAGUGGGUAUGGGUGUGUGUUUUGUGUUCUCUAAACUUACUGGGUACCUGCCACACACAUUUUGACCUGCUGUGCAAACUUGGAACACGUGACUCAACUGCUGGGACCCUUGGUUUUCCCAGCGGAGCCCAGGCGGUCAUGGGCCCUCUCUUACAGGGCUGUGGUGAGCCCGAGAUCAUUCAUGAAGUAUGAGAAUCUCCCUGGCUCAGUUAAGUAUCGGCUGUACCGGAAGCCACCAGCCCUUCGCUACCCCUCUUAGGGAAACUUUUCUCUUUGUGUUUCCCCAACUUGUUUCUAGGCAGCCUUUGGACCAGCUGUAAAAAACAUAAGCUAAAUCCCUGCCAUUCUGACUCAGCAAUCCUAGAUAAGGUUUCCAUGGCUGAAAAUCUUGGCUGUAGACUGCCACAUCAUCCUCCCGCAGAGAAGCUGCUUGGAUUUACAUUUGGCAACAUCGUUGGGAUGUAUCUGGCUCAGAACUAUGACAUACCAAACCUAUCCAAGAAACUUGAAGACAUUAAGAAGGACUUGGACACCAAGAAGAAGCCACCUAGCUCCUGAGACGGCUGCGUUGCCCUUGGACUCACGGACGGGCCCACCCUUAAGGGCUGCCUCACCUUGACCUCGGACCCAUUUCUUUCGCUGUCUCAGGCCCCGAGUUGCCAUUCAGCCCAAAUGGGGCACCAGUUAGAGCUCCCAGUAUCGACCCCACAUCCCCACCGCUCCCACCCUUCUUCCAGCUGCUUGGGGGACCCGCAGACUGGAUGGGGAUGCUAGAGCAGUAAACACACCUGCAACUCGCA